rnacentral:rRNA from 1 species
GUGGGGAAUAUUGGACAAUGGGGGGAACCCUGAUCCAGCCAUGCCGCGUGUGUGAAGAAGGCCUUUUGGUUGUAAAGCACUUUAAGCGAGGAGGAGGCUACCGAGAUUAAUACUCUUGGAUAGUGGACGUUACUCGCAGAAUAAGCACCGGCUAACUCUGUGCCAGCAGCCGCGGUAAUACAGAGGGUGCAAGCGUUAAUCGGAUUUACUGGGCGUAAAGCGCGCGUAGGUGGCCAAUUAAGUCAAAUGUGAAAUCCCCGAGCUUAACUUGGGAAUUGCAGUCGACACUGGUUGGCUAGAGUAUGGGAGAGGAUGGUAGAAUUCCAGGUGUAGCGGUGAAAUGCGUAGAGAUCUGGAGGAAUACCGAUGGCGAAGGCAGCCAUCUGGCCUAAUACUGACACUGAGGUGCGAAAGCAUGGGGAGCAAACAGGAUUAGAAACCCCGGUAGUCC